rnacentral:rRNA from 1 species
GGAAUAUUGCGCAAUGGACGAAAGUCUGACGCAGCGACGCCUCGUGAGGGACGAAGGUCUUCGGAUUGUAAACCUCUUUCAGCAGGGACGAAGCGAAAGUGACGGUACCUGCAGAAGAAGCACCGGCUAACUAUGUGCCAGCAGCCGCGGUAAUACAUAGGGUGCAAGCGUUGUCCGGAUUUAUUGGGCGUAAAGAGUUCGUAGGCGGUUUCUCGCGUCGGAUGUGAAAACUCAGGGCUCAACCCUGAACCUGCAUUCGAUACGGGGAAACUUGAGGACGGCAGGGGAGACUGGAACUCCUGGUGUAGCGGUGGAAUGCGCAGAUAUCAGGAAGAACACCAAUGGCGAAGGCAGGUCUCUGGGCCGAUUCUGACGCUGAGGAACGAAAGCGUGGGGAGCAAACAGGAUUAGAUACCCUGGUAGUCCACGCCGUAAACGAUGGACGCUAGGUGUGGGAACAUUCCACGUUCUCUGCGCCGCAGCUAACGCAUUAAGCGUCCCGCCUGGGGAGUACGACCGCAAGGUUAAAACUCAAAGGAAUUGACGG